AACUUUUAACAACGGAUCUCUUGGUUCUCGCAUCGAUGAAGAACGUAGCAAAGUGCGAUAACUAGUGUGAAUUGCAUAUUCAGUGAAUCAUCGAGUCUUUGAACGCAUCUUGCGCUCAAUGGUAUUCCAUUGAGCACGCCUGUUUCAGUAUCAAC
rnacentral:rRNA from 1 species